rnacentral:misc_RNA from 1 species
AACGCACAUUGCGCCCGCCAGUAUCCUGGCGGGCAUGCCCGUUCGAGCGUCAUUUCCACCCUCGGGCCCAGCCCGGUGUUGGGGGCCUGCACCCGCAGCCCCCGAAAGACAGUGGCGGACUCGUCUGGUCCCGAGCGCAGUAGUUACCUCUCGCUCCGGGUUCUCCAGGCGGGCGCGGCCAGAAGCCGUGUCUCCCCCCCGGGAGCACACUCUUUCAAGGUUGACCUCGGAUCGGGUAGGAAUACCCGCCGAACUUAA